GUGAAAUUGUUGAAAGGGAAACGAUUAAAGUCAGUCGUACUUAUGAGUAAUCAACCUUUUAGGUGCGAUCCUGUGGGCAUCUGAGAGUGGUAACACCUUGAUGUUUUCAAGUUCGUGCUUUGGGGCGUACUUGCUCAUUUGUAGGUUAACAUCGGUUUUGGUCGUUAUAAAAUGACUAGAGGAAUGUAGCUUCGAUUUCGAUUGAAGUGUUAUAGCCUCUGGUAGAUGUAAUGACUGAGACUGAGGAUUGCAACGAAUACCCUUCUGGGCUAUCUGUCUGGCUUCUGGUUAUCGCUUCGGUGCCGAAAGCUUGCUUACGGUUAUUGAAGUCGGUGGCCAAUAGGUUAGAACGGAUUAAAUUCGUUAAGGAUGUUGACGUAAUGGCUUUAAACGAC
rnacentral:rRNA from 1 species